AUCGAUUUGAUUCCUUUCCCUAACAUACACUAUGUCAUUUGGAGAUAUAACAAAAGAAUGAGAGUUCGACGAUGGAUCAGGCAAAAGAUGAUAAUCAGAAGGUUGUAAUCGCGAGUAAUUGGCGAGCCCAAUGGCAUCACCACAAAGCUCUUUGAAAGAAGAGUCUAUUAAACGGAGUUCAGGACGACAACCUUCAAUUCUUUGCGAGGGAAUAGCAGAAGUAAAAUCUU